AAGUCGUAACAAGGUCUCCGUUGGUGAACCAGCGGAGGGAUCAUUACCGAGUUUACAACUCCCAACCCGUGCGGUUUUAACCUUUUUGUUGCUUCGGCGGUGGCCUCUUGGGGCCGCCGCCGGAGGUUCCAAACCUGAAUUUUUAGUGUAUCUCUGAGCCUGACGGCAAAUUUAGUAACAACUUUCAACAACGGAUCUCUUGGUUCUG
rnacentral:misc_RNA from 1 species